AGGUAUUCAACUAACUACUAGAGGGAUUAGACAGGUAUUCAACUAACUACUAGAGGGAUUAGACAGGUAUUCAACUACUAGAGGGAUUAGACAGGUAUUCAACUACCUACUAGAGGGAUUAGACAGGUAUUCAACUAACUACUAGAGGGAU